GGCCAGUAUUGACCUCUGCUCAGGAAUCAACGGGUACGUGCGUAUCGAGGACCAGUCGUACCUCAUUGAACCCCUCGCAGAGGAAGGGGAGACAGACCAGCAGGAAGGCACCGGAGAAGGGGAGGGGCUUCACGCCGUGUACAACUCCAGACACCUGAGACGGAAGAGGAGCUCCUGUGGCCAUGACAACGAGGAGACCGUCUUUGACCACGGGUCGAUCCCCUCCGGACUGUUCCGUCUCAGUAAACCG